AGAAGACACUCCAAAUGUGUGCACACAAGCAAAGAAGACCUAAAUGAGAUGUAUCCUGUCAUUUAGGAGGCAGCUCUACUUGACCUGUUUUGGUGACCCUGUCUUGUCAGUUCUGUGUAGCUGUCAGGAAACCAGCAAAAAUUUGAUUGUUUUUGUGAGCUGAUUUUAAAUACGUUUUGAAAAUAAAUUUAUCUCACAUGAUUUAAUAUCUUGUUGCACAAAAAAAUUCAUCAACUUAAUAAAAGACCACAACACUACAGUCUGAAUGUGGAAAGCAAAGUUGUAACACCAGUGUUUUAUUUGUUUCAGGUAAUGAAUUUUUUAUUUCUUUCUUACAUUGCAUUAUUCAUAUUCUCAUAACUGCAUUUACCCAACUUCCUGAAGUUAAAUGUUUGUGUACUUCCUCUUUUUAACCUGUUCAUCAAUAAUUAAGGGGACAUUUCCUUGGGCUUGUACAAGUGGGAAUUACAGUGAACAAAGUUGAGUUUUUAUGUCUUCUCAAGAGAUAACAUGAUCAACAAUGAGACCAAGGGAAAACAGGGAAAACCUGGACCCUUUUUGAAGUACUUUCAAAAACCUAUCAUGAACUAUUCUGCCUUAUUUACCAUAAUUAUAAGCUGUCAUCAACUUUUUUUUUUUUCCUAAAGAGAGAGAAAGUAAGGAACAAUUGUACAAGUGUGUCAAAAGUCUGGUGCAUUAGUCAUGACUGAAGGAAAAUGCAGAAGUUGAGUGCUGCUGUAUAGAAAGCUAGAAGAAACACAAAAACACAGUUUUAUCCAGGGGACUGAGGUCAAAUUCUGUAUUAAACCAAAAGUGAACAUUGGCUUUCAGCUUUGUGUAAAGUUACCAACAACCUCGGGUCACUUAUUAGCAUAAGAACAAUACUGAAAUCCAAACCAUGAUCUCCUUAACAAAUCUUGUAACUAAAUACUUCUGGUACCCUUUUUUGAGUUUGUUUAAAUGCAAAAAAGCAACUAUAAGGCUUUAAAAGACAGUUUGCAAUAUAGCCAAAUUAGUUUAGCUAAAGUCUCACCACCUCUGACAUGACAAAUAGAUGAUUAAAGUGUGAGAUUUGGGGUUGUUAGUCAUAAAUGUGGAUGGGUUGAGUGCAUACCAUUCCUGGCAGCCCCACUGGAUACACCCCUGAUGUCAGUCACAGUUACAACCAUCCAACAUCGUAAAGUUGUAAAGGCAGGGAAAUUUUUGUUGUCUUUACUCCAGGGUAUUUUCAUCAUUUAGUAAUCCUUCCACGCAACAAGCUGCAUUUAAAAAACAAGAAUUAUCACCUUUUGUCAAAUACGGCUGUUUGAAUUUAACUUGUAGUAUCAGUCAAUGUUUUAAACCAGAUCAUGUUCUCCUUUUUCAAAGCAUGUGAGAUAAAGAACUUGAAAUGACUGUGUGAAUUGUAGCACCAGCAUCAUAGUUAAUUGUCAUGACAGUUCUAACCACAGAAACCUCAGUGGCUGUUCAUUUUGUGUCUCUGUCUCUCCAUUGUAAGAAGUUUGAUGAAACAUCAACGAAACCAUAAACCAGACUUCGAUGUUCAUGUUUCCUUUGGAACAUUUGGUGGAUACUGCAGUCACUGCAUCUUCCAAACUAAACAAUAUGCACAAGCUUUCAAAAUCCCAUAAUGCCUAAGUUCUUAUCUGAAAAUCUUUGGACAAAUCUGCCAGAUAAAACUUUGGACAAGUAUAAACAGCUAAAAAAUAAAAGCUGUUGAGAUUCUGAGUGAGAUUAGGAUCUUAAGAGGCAAGAAUACUUGAUCUGCUGGUGUUUUUUAUACUCAGUGUAUCUACCUCGAGACAGGGAAUAUAGUCAUGCAUGAGCACUCUUUUCCUGUAAUGAUACUACUACUACUACUGCUACUACUACUACUACUACUACUACUACUAAUAAUAAUAAUAAUAAUGAUGAUGAUGUUUAUUUAUACAGUAUCUUUCAAGAACAGCAAGGUAACAAAGUGCUUUACAAAGAGAUAAUAAAAAAUUAAAAGAAAUACAAUAAAAAAUAACAACACAUGCAAUGAUGCAAAGGCUACAAUCGGAGAAGAACACAGUACACAAAAACAGGUUAAGGAAAGGCCAGACCAAACAAGGGCAUCUUUAGUUGCUUUUUAAAGGAAUCAACAGUGUCUACUGAUCCUAAACCCAAUGGAAGAAAGUUCCAGAGAGUUUGAGCUAUGAUCAUGAAAGCACAGUCUCCUUUGGUUUUAAGUCCCGAGUGUGGAACAGCCAGCAGACCCUGAUCAGAGGACUGAAGACUCCUAUUGGGAUUGUAAGGUUUUAACAGUUCUGAAAUGUAGGCCGGUUGCUUGACCAUGAAG
rnacentral:lncRNA from 1 species